UCCUCCUCCUCCUCCUCCUCCUCGCUUUCCUUCCCUCCCGUCCUCGUGCUUCUUCUUCCCGAGCCCCCCGAGUCCAAAUCUGGGCUCCCACUUGUGCUUCCUAGGGAAAAGACUUUGGAGCGCAGAAGGGGACCCGCUCGGGCAGCUCUGCGCCUUGGCAUUUGCACAGAGAGGGAGCUGGUCGCGGGGCUGGGCUGGAGGGGGAGCCCCCUGAUCCCGCCGCCUUUUCCUCCCCCAAGUUCCGCGCAAAAGUUUUCCGGCGUCCCCGCCGGUCUUGCUUUUUUGUCAGCUCCCCCCCCCCCGCCCCUGCAAAGAUUGUCCGACGCUGCCGCAUGCGCGCUGGGGCUUCCUCUGUGCCUGUUUUGUGCGCGGCCAGGGUACCGUAUUGCACCGAGUCGAGUGUCACUCGAGAAAUUGCGAGAAAUCCCGCUUGGUCGGCGGGGUGCGGGCAGCUGGUAGCGGAGAACUUUUACCGUCGUGUUUGGACAUGAUCCCCCCUCCUCCUCUUCUCCCCCCGCCUUUAAACCCCCAACCAAGGUGCUCCGUAGAGUUCUUGCGUGGAUAGUACAAUUGUUCCAAGAUUAGGGUCGCUGCGAUUAAAACAAUAAUUUUGUUUUAUUUUUGUUUUUAUUCAAUACACCUUGUCCUUCUUUUUAUCAGUGCCGCCGCCGGAUCCACCCCAAGUCUGCUGCUGCCCUUGUCACUUUUCCUGGGCAAGUCUGCUCUCGAUGGUCUCCUUCGGCCUCUCAUGCCCACCGCUCAGUGCCGCCCUGCCGGCCAGGCCCUGCCGGCCUCUCUCUCCUCGGACCAAAGCCCUUUUCUGCGGGUUCCUCUGCGCUGGGUGGGACCAGCAUCAUGCAGCCCAGAAGAGGGAACCUGGGGACAUUUCUGUGCUUGGAGGGGGAGUCUCUCUCCCCCGCCCCCCUCUCGUUCUCCAGGGUCAAAAACCACAGUCGGAUCCUUCAAAGUGUGUGCGAGAGUGUAAAGAAGAGAGCCAUCUCCUUACCUUCUCAUCCCCUCCUUCCUGCAAGGCGUGCAGCCUGUGUGUGUGUAUGUAACCAACAAAGGUUAUUCUUCCUCAAGCUCUGAACCUUCCUCACGUGAGAUCGGGGGGAUAAUAUCAGUUCCAUAUAUCCUCUCCUACUUACCGAAAUCCAUCCAACGUGUGUGUGUGUGGGAAGGAAUCCCCGUGUAAGGGGGUGCGUGUGGAGCCUUUCCAGCCGAGCGAAAGGCACCCGAAAGUCCGAGAAGUCACUAAAGGGACCCGGAAUAGCGAAGCUCAGCCAGUGGCUUCUCCUCGCCGCUGCCGGUCACAAACCUCCCAAGGCUUGCCUUUGGCCGGCUGCUGUCUCCAAGGUGCUUCGCAAACGGUGGCGGACGCUUGAGUUAAAAGCGGCACCUUAAAAAGUCGUGGGGGUUGUGUGUUUGGGAAGAUGUGGGAGGAUGCUCCCCCAUUUAAAAAAUAAAAAAAGGUAAACUAUGCCUUACAAGUGAAUCUGUCGCUCCUCCUGUGUGCAAAGACUGGCGCGGGAGGGGUCAUUCCAAGCAAGGCUUGCUCCGCAACUUGUGAAUGAAUUUUGGAAUUGUGCCCAAGUGUGGCUAGCAGUGAAAAGCAAUUUUAGGCUGACAAAGACACCAUCUUCCACGCACGUACAUGAGCGUUCAGACUCACCGACCCUGAAGGGGCAGGUUUUCAAGGGAACCUUUUCAGCUGCUGAAUGAUUGUGCUGAAGAAGGCUGCAACUCACCUAGGAGUAAGCGCCACUGAGCGCAAAAGGAUUUACUCCCGAGUCGACCUAUCGCAUUGCACUGCCAAUCGGUUUUCAUGCGAAGCGCACCCACCACAACUAGUCAACAAUAUAAGCAGUUAUUCCAGAGAGUUUAGGUAGAUGUUUAGGCGGGCAUCAAGACCGAGAAAUUUAGAAAGUUUUUCGCAGGCUGUUGUUCUUCUGGGUUGCCUUAGGCGUUGAUCCUAAACCCGUGACUUGUAAGAAUGUCCACCCGGGGAUCCUAGCGAAAAUCUCCAAGUGUGUUUGAUAUCCCCUCCGCCCCAAGGAAUAGGUUGUGGAUGUGAAGAGUGUGCACUUGAUCUUGUAUUCUAAAGCUACCAUUCCGUUA